CUGCCCGAUCCUGUCAAUCGUCUAACUAAACCGGAAAUAGUUUCAGUGAGAUCAUAAACAAAAGCCAGCGUCUGCACAUUAGCAUUGUCCACCUAGGCAUAUCUCCUGAUAGAAAGCACACCAAGUUCUCGCUAUGAGCAAGAGGAAAGCUCCCACUUCUGACAAUGUCAAUUCGGAAUUCUGCGACUUCUUGAUGGAGUUGGCAAACUAUGAAAAAAAUGUAAAUCGUGCAAUGCACAAAUACAAUGCCUACAGAAAAGCAGCAGGAGUUCUUGCCAAGCAUCCAACUCGUAUCAGCACUGGGGAAGAGGCAAAAAAGCUUGAUGGAAUUGGGGACAAAAUUGGAAAAAAGAUUGAUGAAUUUGUCAAAACAGGAAAGCUAGUCAAAUUAGAAAAGAUCCGGGCAGAUGACACCAGUGUGGCCAUUAAUGCAUUGACUAAAGUGACUGGUAUUGGGCCUGCUGCAGCCCAGAAACUUGUACAGGAGGGUAUUAUGUCUGUAGAAGAUUUACGGAAGCAUACAGACAAACUCAAUCACCACCAACAGAUUGGUCUCAAAUAUUAUGAAGACUUUGAAAAAAGAAUUCCAAGACACGAAGUCAUUCAAUUAAGGGAUGUUGCUGUGAAGGAAGUAAAACAACUGGACAGUGAAUAUACCUGUGAAGUGUGUGGAAGUUUUCGUCGAGGUGCCGCUUCCAGUGGUGAUAUAGAUAUUCUAAUGACUCAUCCUUCUUUUACCUCGGAGUCAGGGAAAAAGCCUAAGUUGCUUACUCGAGUGGUGGAGAAGCUGGAAGCCUGUGGACUAGUAACAGACAGGCUGUCACUGGGAGACGUCAAGUUCAUGGGUGUGUGUCAACUAGGGGACACUGACAGCCAGAAAGAUCGAGCUUACCAGCGCAUUGAUAUCAGGUUGAUACCAAAUGAUCAGUAUUACUGUGCCUUACUUUACUUCACUGGCAGUGACCAGUUUAACAAGGGCAUGAGAGCACAUGCAUUGGAACAGGGUUUCACUCUCAAUGAAUACUGUCUGAGGCCUGUUGGCAGUACAGGUACACCUGGAGAACCCCUCCCUGUAUCAUCUGAAGAGGACAUCUUUGAUUACCUUGGAAUGGAGUUUAAAAAACCAGAAGAAAGAAAUCUGUAGACAGUAAAGUGCGAUUCUAUAUGAAGGUAGAGGAAAUGCUACCUUGAGAGCUCAAACACUAAUGACAAUAUCCAAUAAAUUGAUGAAGUAGUGGGAAGUGGAAGGAUCUAAUGAGAGGAUGCUCUUCUGUAGGAGCUGGUCUACUGGUUAGCUCAUCUGGUCCGAAGGACUAAGAGACAUUUGUCAAACUACUGGAUUCCAUCAUGUGGAUGUUUGACUGACCAGAAACACUUGUCAAACUACUAGAUUCCAUCAUGUGGAUGAUUGACUGACCAGAAACACUUGUCAAACUACUGGAUUCCAUCAUGUGGGUGUUUGACUGACCAGAAACACUUGUCAAACUACUAGAUUCCAUCAUGUGGAUGUUUGACUGACCAGAAACACUUGUCAUACUACUAGAUUCCAUCAUGUGGAUGUUUGACUGAUCAGAAACACUUGUCAAACUACUAGAUUCCAUCAUUUGGAUGUUUGACUGAUCAGAAAUACUUGUCAAACUACUAGAUUCCAUCAUGUGGAUGUUUAACUGACCAGAAACAAAAGUGACUUGUCAAACUACUAGAUUCCAUCAUGUGGAUGUUUGACUGACCAGAAACACUUGUCAAACUACUGGAUUCCAUCAUGUGGAUGUUUUAAUUAACUGACCAGCCUUUGACAAUUGAAUGACUUUUAAAUCUAAGAUAUGAAAUUGCAAUUUACAAAUAUGAAAAAAAUAUUAAAUGUACCUGUAAAGGAAGGAACUAAGACAGGUUCACAAAGUAGAUGUGUAAAUUUAAAUAUGAAGCCAAUUAAGUUCUUCAUUUGUAGCUCACCAUUAGUAAAAUCCUCCCGUGCCUGUGGUCCAUCCUCCUGUCAUUAGUCCAGAUUUCUUGGGAAGUGUCAGGAUAUUUCUUAAACAUGAUGAGUAUGUUCCCCUUGAUCCCUAUCUGUGCCAAUUCAAUUUUGAGUCUGAUCAGAAAAAUAAUCUGGCCGACAGGCAGCCAUCUUUGAUUUUGACAGCUGAAGUUUGUUAUUGCUAUUUCUUCACAAAUUAGACGAUUAACUUCCCCAUUGGUCCCUAGUUGUGCUCAUGCAGUUUUGAGUCUGAUCCAGAAAACAAUAAGGUUGACAGACCAUCUUUUGAUUCUGACAGUUGUAAUUUGCUAUUGUUAUGUCUUAAGAAGCAGUUGAAGGAUUUUUCUCUACAUCACAUGUAGGUUCUCCUUGGUCCCUAGUCAUUCCCAUUCAAUUUUAAGUCAGAUCUAGAAAAGAAAAUGGCUUAAUUACAGCCAUCUUUGAUUUUGACAGUUGAAAUUUGUUAUCAAUAUUUCUCAGUUCUUUUUAGAUCUGUCUUGAACUUCAUAUGAAAAGGGGAAUGAAAGGAAAAUUAGAGAAAAGAUCAGUCUUACAUAGAGCCAUCAAGGAAUUCAGUGGUGGGCACCAAGAUCCCUCUAGGAUCUUGGUUGUAUAUAAUUCUCAUCAAUGGAUAUAUACAACACCAGGUAUUAUAUAUCUGUAUUUUCAAUAUAAACUCUCAUUCUUAUAGAUAAUUUCUGUAACUGAUUGAUAUGUUGAAAUUUGAUGGAACAUGUAUAUGUAUAUUAAAGUUGUCAUCAGAUUUA